UACGGGGGGGGCAAGCGUUGUUCGGAAUUACUGGGCGUAAAGCGCGCGUAGGCGGCUUCUCAAGUCAGACGUGAAAGCCCCAGGCUUAACCUGGGAAUUGCGUUUGAUACUGUUAGGCUAGAGUGUGGAAGGGGCUACUGGAAUUCCGUGUGUAGCGGUGAAAUUCGUAGAUAUCAGGAGGAACACCGGUGGCGAAGGCGGCGACCUGGACCGGUACUGACGCUGAGACGCGAAAGCGUGGGGAGCAAACAGG
rnacentral:rRNA from 1 species